rnacentral:rRNA from 1 species
GUUAGGAAUAUUGGACAAUGGGCGCAAGCCUGAUCCAGCCAUGCCGCGUGAGUGAUGAAGGCCUUCGGGUUGUAAAGCUCUUUAGCCGAUGAUUAUAAUGACUGUAGUCGGAAAAUAAGCCCCGGCUAACUUCGUGCCAGCAGCCGCGGUAAUACGAAGGGGGCGAGCGUUAUUCGGACUCACUGGGCGUAAAGCGUGCGUAGGCGGCUUUGCAAGUUGGGAGUGAAAGCCCAGGGCUCAACCCUGGAAUUGCUCUCAAAACUGCAAGGGUCGAAUUCGGGAGAAGAUAGCGGAAUUGUCAGUGUAGCAGUGAAAUGCGUAGAUAUUGACAGAAACACCAGUGGCGUAAGCGGCUAUCUGGACCGAUAUUGACGCUGAGGCACGAAAGCGUGGGGAUCAAACAGGAUUAGAUACCCUUGUAGUCC